rnacentral:lncRNA from 1 species
GUCACACCUGAUCUGGGUGAGGUUUCUUUUUCUCUGCUCCUGGCCAGGCUGCCAUGCCCUACAUCAUUAACCCUAAACUCUGGGGAACUGAUCCCCUGACAGCCUCUUUGAUAUUAGAUUAGAUCCCUUCCAGGCUGCAUUUAAUUGACUGAGUUCCUAGGGGGAAUAGCUGGUGCCUGCUCCCUCUUUCUGUUUUAGUUGGCCACUCUUCUUUAGUAGCUGGCUUGCAAAUUCACUGUGCCUUCGCGAAGAAGGAAAUGUUACAGAUGAAACAAAUGCCUCCGAUUCCGAAUUCUCCUUUUUUCCCUCUCCCUUCUAAUAGCAUGUCUACGGUUAGACCUGUCAACGAGCUCCUUUGUUCUUUUUGAAUCCUCUUCCUCCAAGUAAUAAGAAAAUGGCCUCUUUCCUCUUCUGUCCUCACCGUACCUUAUCUGUUUUUCUGAAAAUGAAAGACUAGAAGACUGGUAAUUAAAAUACCAGCCCUUUUUUGUUGACUUGAAUGUCUUUACUUCUGUUUUUAAACCUUAUAAAAAUCUUUGACUUUUCUUAAAUGACUCUUGCAUUGUAAACACUUUUCCCCCUGAUCUUUCAUUUUCUUGC